rnacentral:rRNA from 1 species
AACGAACGCUGGCGGCAUGCCUAACACAUGCAAGUCGAACGAAGGCUUCGGCCUUAGUGGCGCACGGGUGCGUAACGCGUGGGAACCUGCCCCUCGGUUCGGAAUAACAGUUAGAAAUGACUGCUAAUACCGGAUGAUGACUUCGGUCCAAAGAUUUAUCGCCGAGGGAUGGGCCCGCGUAGGAUUAGCUAGUUGGUGGGGUAAAGGCCUACCAAGGCGACGAUCCUUAGCUGGUCUGAGAGGAUGAUCAGCCACACUGGGACUGAGACACGGCCCAGACUCCUACGGGAGGCAGCAGUGGGGAAUAUUGGACAAUGGGCGAAAGCCUGAUCCAGCAAUGCCGCGUGAGUGAUGAAGGCCUUAGGGUUGUAAAGCUCUUUUACCAGGGAUGAUAAUGACAGUACCUGGAGAAUAAGCUCCGGCUAACUCCGUGCCAGCAGCCGCGGUAAAG